AUCCAGAUAACGAGUCCCAAAUAGGACGAAAUGCGUAUCCUGGAU
rnacentral:hammerhead_ribozyme from 1 species